rnacentral:tRNA from 1 species
GCCUUCAUGGUGUUGUGGUCAGCACGCUCGACGCGUAACCGAGAGGUCCGUGGUUCGACUCCCGGCGAGGGCA